rnacentral:rRNA from 1 species
CAGCAGCCGCGGUAAUACGUAGGGUGCGAGCGUUAAUCGGAGUUACUGGGCGUAAAGCGUGCGCAGGCGGUUUUGUAAGACAGGCGUGAAAUCCCCGGGCUCAACCUGGGAACUGCAUUUGUGACUGUAGAGCUGGAGUGCGGCAGAGGGGGAUGGAAUUCCGCGUGUAGCAGUGAAAUGCGUAGAGAUCUGGAGGAAUACCGAUGGCGAAGGCAGCCAUCUGGCCUAAUACUGACGCUGAGGAGCGAAAGCGUGGGGAGCGAACAGGAUUAGAUACCCGGGUAGUCCCUGUCUCUUAUAC